rnacentral:snRNA from 1 species
GAAUGUUAGGCCUCUCAUCACCCAAAGAUCAUCAGGGUUGAUUCAGCUGAUCUGGUUGUCCAGGCCAAGUGUCCCCUUCCUCCCUCACCGCUUCAAGCAUGUGUCCCUCCUGAAGUUGUAUGCUUAGUCAAGCUGCCCGAUACAGGAGUAUCUUGAAGAGAACAUUCCCUGACAAAGGGGAACUGUCCUUUGGUUACGGGUAGAGGAGGAGCUGUGUUCCACAGCUAUUACCUCCGAACAAGCUCUCCUAUCAGGGCAGCUAGCCUCAAAGAUGUCCCUAAACAAAUCCGGCCUCUUGAUGGUCAUGUCUGGAUGCAGUC